rnacentral:rRNA from 1 species
UAGGGAAUCUUCGGCAAUGGGGGCAACCCUGACCGAGCAACGCCGCGUGAGUGAAGAAGGUUUUCGGAUCGUAAAGCUCUGUUGUAAGAGAAGAACGUGUGUGAGAGUGGAAAGUUCACACAGUGACGGUAACUUACCAGAAAGGGACGUCUAACUACGUGCCAGCAGCCGCGGUAAUACGUAGGUCCAGAGCGCUGUCCGGAUUUAUUGGGCGUAAAGCGAGCGCAGGCGGUUUAAUAAGUCUGAAGUUAAAGGCAGUGGCUUAACCAUUGUUCGCUUUGGAAACUGUUAAACUUGAGUGCAGAAGGGGAGAGUGGAAUUCCAUGUGUAGCGGUGAAAUGCGUAGGUAUAUGGAGGAAAACCGGUGGCGAAAGCGGCUCUCUGGUCUGUAACUGACGCUGAGGCUCGAAAGCGUGGGGAGCAAACAGG